rnacentral:rRNA from 1 species
UACGUAGGGUGCAAGCGUUGUCCGGAAUUAUUGGGCGUAAAGAGCUCGUAGGCGGUUUGUCGCGUCUGGUGUGAAAAUCCAGGGCUUAACCCUGGACCUGCAUCGGGUACGGGCAGACUAGAGUGCGGUAGGGGAGAUCGGAAUUCCUGGUGUAGCGGUGAAAUGCGCAGAUAUCAGGAGGAACACCGGUGGCGAAGGCAGGUCUCUGGGCUGACACUGACGCUCAUGCACGAAAGCGUGGGGAGCAAACAGG